AUUGAACGCUGGCGGCAUGCCUUACACAUGCAAGUCGAACGGUAACAGGUUAAGCUGACGAGUGGCGAACGGGUGAGUAAUGUAUCGGAACGUGCCCAGUCGUGUGUUCUAACUGCUCUCUUUAGCAGCUAAUACCGCAUACGACCUGAGGGUGAAAGCGGGGGAUCGCAAGACCUCGCUCGAUUGGAGCGGCCGAUAUCAGAUUAGGUAGUUGGUGAGGUAAAGGCUCACCAAGCCGACGAUCUGUAGCCGGUCUGAGAGGACGACCAGCCACACUGGGACUGAGACAACGAACAGACUCCGAAGGGAGGCAGAAGUGGGGAAUUUUGGACAAUGAGCGCAAGCCUGUUGCAGCCAUCGAGAGCGCGGGAAGAAGGCGUUCGGGUUGUAAAACGCUUUUAGCUGUGAAGAAAAGGUUCUAGCUAAUACCUGGGACUCAUGACUGGCAAUGAAGAAGAAGAACCGGCUAACUACGUGCCAGCCGACGCAGGAACAC
rnacentral:rRNA from 1 species